rnacentral:tRNA from 1 species
GCUUCGGUGGCUCAGUCGGUAGAGCGUCAGUCUCAUAAUCCAUUUGAGUGAUCUGAAGGUCGUGAGUUCGACCCUCACCCGGAGCA